rnacentral:rRNA from 1 species
UACGGAGGGUGCAAGCGUUAUCCGGAUUCACUGGGUUUAAAGGGUGCGUAGGAGGGCAGGUAAGUCAGUGGUGAAAUCUCCGAGCUUAACUUGGAAACUGCCAUUGAUACUAUUAGUCUUGAAUUUUGUUGAGGUAGGCGGAAUAAGUCAUGUAGCGGUGAAAUGCUUAGAUAUGACUUAGAACACCAAUUGCGAAGGCAGCUUGCUAAACAAACAUUGACGCUGAGGCACGAAAGCGUGGGGAUCAAACAGG